rnacentral:rRNA from 1 species
UACGUAGGGUGCGAGCGUUGUCCGGAAUUAUUGGGCGUAAAGAGCUCGUAGGCGGUUUGUCGCGUCGACUGUGAAAACCUACAGCUUAACUGUGGGCUUGCAGUCGAUACGGGCAGACUUGAGUUCGGUAGGGGAGACUGGAAUUCCUGGUGUAGCGGUGAAAUGCGCAGAUAUCAGGAGGAACACCGGUGGCGAAGGCGGGUCUCUGGGCCGAUACUGACGCUGAGGAGCGACAGCGUGGGGAGCGAACAGG